AAAACAAUUAUAGCGCCUGAGCUGAGAAAAUUGGACGAAAACGCAUUCUCAGCGGACGAGGUGGAGGUUUAUCGAAAAUUCGGCGGAUGCCUCCCGGUCGUGUUGCCCGAUCGUCACUUUUUAUCUUGAAAACAUUCAAGUGAUUGAAUAGACAGAGGAUAAAAAAAGGCAUAA
rnacentral:ncRNA from 1 species